GACGAACGCUGGCGGCGUGCCUAAUACAUGCAAGUAGAACGCUGAAGGAGGAGCUUGCUUCUCUGGAUGAGUUGCGAACGGGUGAGUAACGCGUAGGUAACCUGCCUGGUAGCGGGGGAUAACUAUUGGAAACGAUAGCUAAUACCGCAUAAUAGUAGAUGUUGCAUGACAUUUACUUAAAAGGUGCAAUUGCAUCACUACCAGAUGGACCUGCGUUGUAUUAGCUAGUUGGUGGGGUAACGGCUCACCAAGGCGACGAUACAUAGCCGACCUGAGAGGGUGAUCGGCCACACUGGGACUGAGACACGGCCCAGACUCCUACGGGAGGCAGCAGUAGGGAAUCUUCGGCAAUGGACGGAAGUCUGACCGAGCAACGCCGCGUGAGUGAAGAAGGUUUUCGGAUCGUAAAGCUCUGUUGUAAGAGAAGAACGAGUGUGAGAGUGGAAAGUUCACACUGUGACGGUAUCUUACCAGAAGGGGACGGCUAACUACGUGC
rnacentral:rRNA from 1 species